rnacentral:rRNA from 1 species
AUAAUAAUUUGGCCUUUAAAUGGGGUCUAGAAUGAAAGGAUUUACGUAUAGAAGCUGUCUCGUUUUAAUGAAAGAAAACUUCCUUAAAAGGUGCAAAUACCUUUGUAUUUAUAUAAUAGACGAGAAGACCCUUAGAAUUUUGUUUAAUAUAAUAUGUAUUUCUUAUUUUUAUUUUGUUGGGGCAACAAGGUAGCAUUGUAUCAAAUCUACUUUUAUAAAUUUAGUGCGCCGACUACUAGUAAGUGUAUAUAAAUUACCUUAGGGAUAACAGCAUAAUUUAGUAAAGAUUGU